rnacentral:rRNA from 1 species
UGAGGAAUAUUGGUCAAUGGACGCAAGUCUGAACCAGCCAAGUAGCGUGCAGGAUGACGGCCCUAUGGGUUGUAAACUGCUUUUAUAUGGGGAUAAAGUGGGGAACGUGUUCCCUUUUGCAGGUACCAUAUGAAUAAGGACCGGCUAAUUCCGUGCCAGCAGCCGCGGUAAUACGGAAGGUUCGGGCGUUAUCCGGAUUUAUUGGGUUUAAAGGGAGCGUAGGCCGUUUGGUAAGCGUGUAGUGAAAUGUAGGAGCUCAACUUCUAGAUUGCAGCGCGAACUGUCAGACUUGAGUGCGCCCAACGUAGGCGGAAUUCAUGGUGUAGCGGUGAAAUGCUUAGAUAUCAUGAAGAACUCCGAUUGCGAAGGCAGCUUACGGGAGCGCAACUGACGCUGCAGCUCGAAGGUGCGGGUAUCGAACAGG